rnacentral:rRNA from 1 species
GGACGAACGCUGGCGGCGUGCUUAACCCAUGCAAGUCGAACGGAAAGGCCUGCUUUCCCUUGUGGAUUGCGGGUACUCGAGUGGCGAACGGGUGAGUAACACGUGAGUGAUCUGCCCCCAACUUGGGUAUAAGCCUGGGAAACUGGGUCUAAUUCCCGAUAGGACUGCAGGGUGGUGCCUGUGGUGGAAAACGAUUUUCUAGUGGUUGGGGAUGAGCUCGCGGCCUAUCAGCUUGUUGGUGGGGUAAUGGCCUACCAAGGCGGCGACGGGUAGCCGGCCGGAGAGGGUGGACGGCCACAUUGGGACUGAGAUACGGCCCAGACUCCUACGGGAGGCAGCAGUGGGGAAUAUUGCACAAUGGGCGGAAGCCUGAUGCAGCGACGCCGCGUGGGGGAUGACGGCCUUCGGGUUGUAAACUCCUUUCGACCGCGAGGAAGCCACCUGGUUGGAAGGGUGGUGACGGUAGUGGUAGAAGAAGCACCGGCUAACUACGUG